AUUGAACGCUGGCGGCAGGCCUAACACAUGCAAGUCGAGCGAGCGGCGGACGGGUGAGUAAUGUAUGGGGACUGCCCGAUAGAGGGGGAUAACUACUGGAAACGGUGGCUAAUACCGCAUACUAUCGGAUAACCCAUAUGGGAUUAGCUAGUAGGUGGGGUAAAGGCUCACCUAGGCGACGAUCUCUAGCUGGUCUGAGAGGAUGAUCAGCCACACUGGAGCGGAGACACGGCCCAGACUCCUCGGGAGGCAGCAGUGGGGAAUAUUGCACAGUGGGCACAAGCCUGAUGCAACCAUGCCGCGUGUAUGAAGAAGGACUUAGGGGUGUAAAGUACUUUCAGCGGUGAGGCGUUACCCGCAGAAGAAGCACCGGCUAACUCCGUGCCAGCAGUCGCGGUAAUAC
rnacentral:rRNA from 1 species